AGCAGGUCAUGUUAUGCGACUGUCCUCAGAGGUCUUUAUGAUCAUCUGGCAUACCAAACUUGGAUGGCAUUUCAAGUGUGGACCAUGGCACUCUGCCUGAGAUCUAGCGUCUCUCCGUAUUUCUACGAACAAUUUGGACGAUGAAUCAAAUGGGAGUUGCACCCCCCGAGCUACACCUGACUUGGUUCGUAUUGGAGCCUGCACUGAGCACAGCAUCCCCAGCAGACGGAGUUAGUGCAGGACGGGGAAGGGAAAGCGGCGAUGCCCUGCGCUGGAUGCGUGCCGGGUUCCCUGCCCUGCUAAAAGCAAAGCUCAGGUGUGGCCUCACCUCAAAUCCUGCACCUGACAGCUUGGGAAAGCAAACACACGCCACGUGGGAGCCGUCCUGGGGUCUCACAGGAAGGCUUCUUGCUCGUUCUUCCGCAGAGGGAAAGGAUUUUGCAAUAGGACAGGCGAGUGAAAAAAAAAAGGGGCAGGUCUUCAAACCAGAGCGUGCAGCACCGUGUAGGCAAAGCUUGGCUUUGUAAUGCAAGCGGCCAUUUGAAACAAGGCCACAGCUGUUCUUAGUAAGGCUGGUGUUUUGCUACAGCAAAUAGCUACUUCCAACAGUAUCCUACUGUCCUGGCAUAGCCAAGGCCUGACACAGAGCAGUAUUUAUUGAAUUUCUGCCCGAAUAGCCCCCUAGAGCUUCAAAUCUGCCAGAGUAAGAGCUUGCUAAUACCUACAACACGCUCCUGGCUGAAGGGAGUUAAAAGGCUCGAAUCAAAUCCACCCGAAAUGGAGGCAGGUGUCAUGUCCUGCUUCUUGUACCCAGCUGAACUGCACCCCGAGCGGGGACUUGUCGCUGUCCUGCCCUGCUCCUUGCCACGGCAAAAGGCUGGGCCCAAAGCCUUGGAAGCAAACCGAGUGACCAGGUCCUGCCAAGCAGCGAUUUCUAGCUCGGUACCCUUGAUUUCCGUGUGCCGUUGGCAUAAGAAAGGUUUGGCCGUGCAAGAAGGCAUCGAGAAACAGGUCCUUGAACACUUCAUCUGGAACAACCUGGGACUGUUCCUCCGUGCUGUGAGCAACCCAGCACUUAUCACCCCAAGUAGCUGCGCUGACAGGAUCUGUACCCAGAACCAGGAGAAAGGCACAACUGUGUGGACCAGGAGGAAGAAAGUCAAAGUAAAAGUGAUCCCUGCUGAGGACUGGACAGGAAGGAGCCACGCUAUAAAUAUCUCCGUGCAAGUUUUCCGAGUCCGAACAGUCACAGUGCCGCUCCUCGCCCAGCAGCAGCGAGCCUAGCUGCUU
rnacentral:lncRNA from 1 species